rnacentral:lncRNA from 1 species
UGAAUAACUCUUUUACUUGCUUUAUACAUAUUGCACAAUACUCAAAAAAAUUCUUUUACUUCCAAAUGCUAGUUACAGAACAGAAAGUAUAUAUAUUCUUUCGAUUAUGUAAUCUCACUAUAUGACAGAGAGGAAAUGAUCUCAUACACAAAUUUACAGUUUGAAUAACAAAAAAAUAUUAUUAAUGACGGUAAAGGGCAAACUUCUCCACUCUAGAAAAAUAAAUAGUCCCAACACCUUGGAAAACACUAAAGGCUUCAUCUCGAUUAAAACAGUAUACUCUAUCAGAAUCUAAAGAAAAUCAUGCCAAAAUUAAUUAUCAGUUAUAAGCAAUAUGGAAUUUCUCAAAAAAACUUAUUUAUAAAAAUCAAUUAAUAAAUGAGUUUUAGUCCAAAUAACUUACUGCUGGAAAUUCAAACACUGUUAUACUGGCCAGCGAAGUAGUUUUUCAGAUCAUGAAAACCAAUUGACUCAUAUUUUAUACUCCCACUAAACCCAAACUAAAUCAUUCUAUACUCCAUGAAAACAUCUUAAGUUGAAGGCCAUUGGAAGUUAAAAAACAUCUGCAACCCAAAUAAAAACUCCAUUAUUUAGUUUCUGAAGUUGUCUAGACUGGUGUAUCUAAGCAUUCAUAUAUUUGAAGACAAAGACUGUCAUUCAAUAAUAAAUUGUGUUUAUAUUACCAAAAAUAAUAUCCAUCUCAACAAAACACAAGUUUAAACCUUUUCAUCUUUUUUAUUCUUUUUCCUAACAACAACUAAGAAAGCCUCUUAAAUCGAUCUAGAGUUUGAUCAAUUCACAUAUUUUAUAUAUGCAGCUGUAUUUAGCUAAAGCAAAAUCAAAGAUGAAUGACAAACAAAGAAAGAGCAGAAGAAAUGCUAUUUUUACGGAGGAAGAGCAAAAAAAGAAUGCCUCUUUCAUUGACGCAAGAAAAUAUUGUUCCUAUAAUCCAUCCAUCAAAAUGCAGUUGCUCACUUUUCUUUUUAAACUUUCUUUCUUAUUCCCUAUUAUUUGGACCUUGAAGUGGAGACAGACACCAAUUUGAACAACUACUACGACCAUCUUAACAGUCCAAUAUCUAUUGCACAUUUGAUUCAUCAGGAUCAAGCAAUGACACACAAACUGAUCAACACUGGCAAUUGGUCCCCAUGGCAUAUAUAGAGCAAAUAGCCGAUAAAAUCAAGAUAAACCUAUAAUACCAAGAUUUAAGCUCUAACCUACAAUGUAAUUAGAAACAAUAAAAAGAGAAAUACACAGAUGCUAAAUUUCGUAAAAUUGACAUCUUAGUUGGACAUGAAAAUCCAUAGAAACUGAAAAAUUAUGUCCGUGCUAUUCACACUAAGCAUACUUUCAGUACAAUUAUAGAACCCAUAAAUGGUGCAAAUACAAAUGCAAACACUUUCUUUUUUUCUUAACAUAAGUCUCACUCUCAAAACUAACAAUGUGAAGGCCAAAAAGGAAAGGAAGAAGAAGAGGAUAAAUUUUCACAGAAUUCCCAUGCUAUGUUAGCUUGUCGCUCCAAUAAGUAACAGUCUGUUAGAGUAAUUAUUUUACGAGAGGCGCAAACCUGAGUCGGAUGUUGUUUAGGACCAUCUCCUGCAUUAAUAAUUGAAGUAUUGGUAGUGACAGCUGCUCUUCCAGCAACACCACAAGUGUGUCAAACAAUAAUAUCAGAACAAUCUUUACCAUUCUAAUGAUAUCUGCAAAACAAACUCAGUUAUAAUAACCCACAAUCUUGAUUAUGUUUCCUCAACCAUACUAUUAUAACUCUCGUUAGCCUCAUCUUUAUAUUAACUGAGAAAUAUUUAAGAGAAAACCAGAAUAUUUUUCUGGGAUACUGGAAGUGGAUGUAAUCAUAAUACUGUACAAUCCAAAAGAGUAACAAACAACAUUCAAUUCAUGAGUUUCAAUUAUCAUACGUAUAUAAACCAAGAAAAUUUUAAAAGAAAGAGGGGAUUAGGGUUAGGUAGUGGAAAAAAUUAUCCAUGUCGAUCAGUAAGGGAUUCGUAAUUAUCUGUGUGUACCCGAACCUGAGACAUACUUUAUCGAAAAUCAGGGAUUGAUAGUUGCUGAUUAAGAUGGUAAUGGAAAUAAUGAAGCAACAUUGGAAUUGAAUCCGCUUUGUUAUUUCUUUUUCGCUUUAAGUGCUUGCAAUUGAAGCGGUGGAAUAAUUGCUCUGAAACGGUUUGGGAAAUUUGCUCUGAAACGUGCUGGUUUGAAACGGCUCAGGGAAUUGUGAAUGUUGCAGCUUUUCG